UGACGGCGCGAGCAGGUGCGAAAGCAGGUCAUAGUGAUCCGGUGGUUCUGAAUGGAAGGGCCAUCGCUCAACGGAUAAAAGGUACUCCGGGGAUAACAGGCUGAUACCGCCCAAGAGUUCAUAUCGAAGCCUGCGGUAUUAGGGGUGGCGCUCAAUGAAGUCUUCGUGCCUAUUCUGCAAAAACAGUUUCCGGAAAUCGUCGACUUUUAUCUGCCGCCGG
rnacentral:rRNA from 1 species